UGAAUUACCCCCAUGGAACGGGUGACUGUACUGAAAUACUCUGUGCUGGCAACAGUCUAACAUUCUGCUGGUCACUGAUUGUAUUGCCACACUUAGUCCCUGCUCAUCUGCCUGUGAAUACAAGAAGGGCUCUAUCCGUAGUCCUGAAAUAAGUUUUCAGGCGUGAUGCUCAGUGUGUAAAGAGGAUGCUAUCUAUCGGGUUGAGGUGUUACCCCAGGCAAUAUGGAAUGGCAUAAUGCUCAAGGGAGUCAGCACUCUAGAAGCCAACAGUGACCUCAUGGAUGAACCACCCACGCCUGCUUACAAUAGUGAUCCAUCACACAUGUUUUUACUCUUCAGUCACAUAAGAAGCAAUUUCUACAGAGGGGAAGCUGGAGAAAUUUACUGGCAUAUAAUUCCAUACACCGUGUGACUUCCAGAUGUUAUGAGGACCUGCCCAACAGAAGCUGUGAAUCUGCACUUGAUCAGCCUCUGAGAAGUCCCUGGCAUAGGGAAUGCUCUAUUUUAAUCUAGCAGUCUCCACUGAUCAAUUGUAUUUUCAAAUAAUGC